UUAACGGGGAAUUAGGGUUCGAUUCCGGAGAGGGGGCCUGAGAGAUGGCCACCACUUCCAAGGAAGGCAGCAGGCGCGCAAAUUACCCAAUCCCAAUUCGGGGAGGUAGUGACAAGAAAUACCAGUACAGGGCCCAAUGGGUACUGUGACUGGAAUGAAUACAAUUUAAAAACCUUAAUGAGGAACGAUUGGAGGGCAAGUCUGGUGCCAGCAGCCGCGGUAAUCCCAGCUCCAAUAGUGUAUAUUAAAGUUGCUGCAGUUAAAAAGCUCGUAGUUGGAUUUCGGAUAAUAAAAAUUUAAUAUCCAUCCUUAAAAUGUGAUUUAAUUUUUAUUUCCUUCCUUUUGAAUACACUCCCUAAACUCUUUUAGGGAAUUAAGUGUUUCAAAUCGUUUACUGUGAAGAAAUUAGAGUGUUCAAAGCAGGCGUAACCUAGCCUUUGAAUAUAUUAGCAUGGGAUAAUGAAAUAGGACUUUAGUCCUACUUUCGUUGGUUUCUAGGGCUGAAGUAAUGAUUAAUAGGGAUAGUUGGGGUCACUAGUAUUUAAUUGUCAGAGGUGAAAUUCUAAGAUUUAUUAAAGACUAACUACUGCGAAAGCAUUUGACAAGGAUGUUUUCAUUAAUCAAGAACGAAAGUUGGGGGAUCGAAGAUGAUCAGAUACCGUCGUAGUCUCAACCAUAAACUAUGCCGACCAAGGAUCCGGGGUUAAUAUGGAUGACUCUCCGGGCACUUAUAGAGAAAUCAUAAGUAUUUGGGCUCCGGGGGGAGUAUGGUCGCAAGGCUGAAACUUAAAGGAAUUGACGGAAGGGCACCACAAGGAGUGGAACCUGCGGUUUAAUUUGACCCAACACGGGGAAACUUACCAGGUCCAGACACAGUGAGGAUUGACAGAUUGAGAGUUCUUUCUUGAUUCUGUGAGUGGUGGUGCAUGGCCGUUUCUAGUUGGUGGAGUGAUUUGUCUGGUUAAUUCCGUUAACGAACGAGACCUUAACCUAUUAAAUAGUUGUUUGAACUUGAUUUUUUAAAUCAAAUGUUCAUUUAACUUCUUAGAGGGACUCUUCACUGAGAGAGUGAAUGGAAGUUUGAGGCAAAAACAGGUCUGUGAUGCCCUUAGAUGUUCUGGGCCACACGCGCGUUACACUGACAUAUUCAACGAGCAUUAUCCUUGCCCGUCGGGGUUGGGUAAUCUUUUAAAUGUAUGUCGUGCUGGGGAUAGAUCAUUGUAAUUAUUGGUCUUGAACGAGGAAUUCCUAGUAAGUGCGAGUCAUCAACUCGCGCUGAUUACGUCC
rnacentral:rRNA from 1 species